GAUGAACGCUGGCGGCGUGCCUAAUACAUGCAAGUCGAGCGAACGGACGAGAAGCUUGCUUCUCUGAUGUUAGCGGCGGACGGGUGAGUAACACGUGGAUAACCUACCUAUAAGUCUGGGAUAACUUCGGGAAACCGGAGCUAAUACCGGAUGAUAUUUUGAACCGCAUGGUUCAAAAGUGAAAGACGGUCUUGCUGUCACUUAUAGAUGGAUCCGCGCUGCAUUAGCUAGUUGGUAAGGUAACGGCUUACCAAGGCAACGAUGCAUAGCCGACCUGAGAGGGUGAUCGGCCACACUGGAACUGAGACACGGUCCAGACUCCUACGGGAGGCAGCAGUAGGGAAUCUUCCGCAAUGGGCGAAAGCCUGACGGAGCAACGCCGCGUGAGUGAUGAAGGUCUUCGGAUCGUAAAACUCUGUUAUUAGGGAAGAACAUAUGUGUAAGUAACUGUGCACAUCUUGACGGUACCUAAUCAGAAAGCCACGGCUAACUACGUG
rnacentral:rRNA from 1 species